GCCACUCACCGUUUGAAAUGCUCGAUGAUCUUCUCCUCCCGCACAUUCUCCGGAAGAGAAAUCCACAGGAGAAAGCAAAAGGCUUCUCAUGUCUCUUCAAGUAGCUCCAAUCGGAUGAAAAUUGGACGGUGAGAUCAAUUUCGAGGAGUGUUGGAGUGUGGUUUCUAUCUUCUAUUUCGGCAGAUAACUGUUCUGCGCUUUUGCAGGGAGGAACAGAAAGAGGAAGAAAAAGGAAGUCUACAGUUUGGAAGAAACAUCCCAGCAGAAUUCAUUCACAGUACGGUGAAAAUAAUAAAACAGUGUCGCGAUAGGGAUCGAAAUGUCCUCCAGAAAACAAAUAUCCCAGUGCAUGAAAUGGGUGUCAUCUUUGAAAAGACAGUGGAGGUGGUCCCUUGAAAAAGGGAAUAAGAGAAAAUAAUUGGCCCUGAGAUUUAGGACUGGAGACAAAAAUAGAUAAUUCCUGUACCAGAAUAAAGCAAGAUUGA